GGCGUAAAGCGCAUGCAGGUGGUUGGAUAAGCUAGAUGUGAAAGCCCCGGGCUCAACCUGGGAAUUGCAUUUAAAACUGUCCAGCUAGAGUCUUGUAGAGGGGGGUAGAAUUUC
rnacentral:rRNA from 1 species